rnacentral:lncRNA from 1 species
UGAUGUGCUAGUGGUAUGAGUGACCAGGCAGUAAGAAAUGGUGUAGUUAGCUAGUUGGGAGGUAGAGUGGAAAAAUUAAAAGACAGUGUGCUGAAAUUGUUGGAAGUUUGAACCGAUUAGUCUACCAGGAAAAUUUUGCCGCAAGAUAAAUCAUGAGCAAGCAUAAAGCAAGCUUUCUGUAAAUGUUUCAUUGACUUGUAAUCAGUAAAUUAUUUACUGAUUACAAGUCAAUGAAACAUUUACAGAGAGCAUAGUUUAUAAGAUGAAAAUAGCAUAUACUCAGACGCAAAGCACGAUUCAAACCAUUCCAAAACACAGAAUUCUUUGCAUUAUUUAAAAUAAAAACAAACAAACAAGCCAAGAAAACAAAUUCAACUAAUGAAAAGAAAAUCCAUCAACCGACUAAAAAUUUGUAACAAG